ensembl:misc_RNA Metazoa_SRP Metazoan signal recognition particle RNA
GCCGGGCAUGGUGGCGCAUGCCUGUAGUCCCAGCUACUUGGAGGCUGAGGCAGGAGAAUUGCUUGAACCUGGGAGACGGAGGUUGCAGUGAGCUGAGAUUGUGCCACUGCACUCCAGCCUGGGUGACAGAGCAAGACUCCGUCUCAA